rnacentral:rRNA from 1 species
GAUGAACGCUAGCUACAGGCUUAACACAUGCAAGUCGAGGGGUAACAAGAGAAAAGCUUGCUUUUCUUGUUGACGACCAGCGCACGGGUGAGUAACGCGUAUCCAACCUGCCUAUAACUAGGGAAUAACCUUGCGAAAGUAAGACUAAUACCCUAUGGUUUCCUUUGAUGACAUCAGAUUAGGAAUAAAGAUUUAUCGGUUAUAGAUGGGGAUGCGUCUGAUUAGCUUGUUGGCGGGGUAACGGCCCACCAAGGCAACGAUCAGUGGGGGUUCUGAGAGGAAGGUCCCCCACAUUGGAACUGAGACACGGUCCAAACUCCUACGGGAGGCAGCAGUGAGGAAUAUUGGUCAAUGGGCGGAAGCCUGAACCAGCCAAGUAGCGUGCAGGAUGACGGCCCUAUGGGUUGUAAACUGCUUUUAUACAGGAAUAAAGUUAGCCACGUGUGGUUAUUUGUAGGUACUGUAUGAAUAAGGACCGGCUAAUUCCGUGCCAGCCGCCGCCGUAA